GCGGUUAAGACACCGCCCUUUCACGGCGGUAACACGGGUUCGAAUCCCGUACGGGUCACUUUCAAUCUUUACAUAGG
rnacentral:tRNA from 1 species